UGAGACCUGAUGCCGAGCCGAUUGUGGUGAAGUGGAUGAUCCUAUGCUGUCGAGAAAAGCCUCUAGCGAGUUUCAUGGCGGCCCGUACCCUAAACCGACUCAGGUGGUCAGGUAGAGAAUACCGAGGCGUUCGGGUGAACUAUGGUUAAGGAACUCGGCAAAAUGCCCCCGUAACUUCGGGAGAAGGGGGGCCAUGUCUGGUGAUGAGUCUUGCACUCUGAGCUGGGUGUGGCCGCAGAGACCAGCGAGAAGCGACUGUUUACUAAAAACACAGGUCCGUGCGAAGCCGUAAGGCGAUGUAUACGGACUGACGCCUGCCCGGUGCUGGAACGUUAAGGGGACCGGUUAGUCACAUUUCGGUGUGGCGAAGCUGAGAACUUAAGCGCCAGUAAACGGCGGUGGUAACUAUAACCAUCCUAAGGUAGCGAAAUUCCUUGUCGGGUAAGUUCCGACCUGCACGAAUGGCGUAACGACUUCUCGACUGUCUCAACCAUAGGCCCGGUGAAAUUGCAUUACGAGUAAAGAUGCUCGUUUCGCGCAGCAGGACGGAAAGACCCCGGGACCUUUACUACAGUUUGAUAUUGGUGUUCGGUUCGGCUUGUGUAGGAUAGGUGGGAGACUGUGAAGCAUGCACGCCAGUGUGUGUGGAGUCGUCGUUGAAAUACCACUCUGGUCGUGCUGGAUGUCUAACCUGGGUCCGUGAUCCGGAUCAGGGACAGUGUCUGAUGGGUAGUUUAACUGGGGCGGUUGCCUCCUAAAGAGUAACGGAGGCGCCCAAAGGUUCCCUCAGCCUGGUUGGUAAUCAGGUGUUGAGUGUAAGUGCACAAGGGAGCUUGACUGUGAGACCGACGGGUCGAGCAGGGACGAAAGUCGGGACUAGUGAUCCGGCGGUGGCUUGUGGAAGCGCCGUCGCUCAACGGAUAAAAGGUACCCCGGGGAUAACAGGCUGAUCUUCCCCAAGAGUCCAUAUCGACGGGAUGGUUUGGCACCUCGAUGUCGGCUCGUCGCAUCCUGGGGCUGGAGUCGGUCCCAAGGGUUGGGCUGUUCGCCCAUUAAAGCGGUACGCGAGCUGGGUUUAGAACGUCGUGAGACAGUUCGGUCCCUAUCCGCUGUGCGCGUAGGAAUAUUGAGAAGGGCUGUCCCUAGUACGAGAGGACCGGGACGGACGAACCUCUGGUGUGCCAGUUGUUCUGCCAAGGGCAUGGCUGGUUGGCUACGUUCGGGAGGGAUAACCGCUGAAAGCAUCUAAGCGGGAAGCCUGCUUCGAGAUGAGUAUUCCCACCUCCUUGAGAGGGUAAGGCUCCCAGUAGACGACUGGGUUGAUAGGCCGGAUAUGGAAGCCCUGUAAGGGGUGGAGUUGACCGGUACUAAUAGGCCGAGGGCUUGUCCUC
rnacentral:rRNA from 1 species